AAGGCUCAGUAUAACAGCUAUUAUUUAUUUGAUCGUAAACAUAGUUACUUGGAUAACUGUGGUAAUUCCAGAGCUAAUACAUGCAAACAACAUGGAUCCCUGUAGCAAUAUGGGUGAAACAUGUGCUUUUAUUAGAUUAAAACCAUGUCCAUCUCCGGAUGGAUUUGUUUUAGAUGAAUCUGGAUAAUUAUGGCUGAUCGUAUGGUCUUGCACCGACGAUAGAUCAUUCAAAUGUCUGCCCUAUCAACUAUUGAUGGUAGUAUAGAGGACUACCAUGGUUGCAACGGGUAACGGGGAAUCAGGGUUCGA
rnacentral:rRNA from 1 species